ACUACAGUAGACGUUCGAUAACUGCAACAUGUUUACGUUUCACCUACCGAAUGAAAUUCGUUAAGUGCAACGACUGACAGACGUCAAAGACUUGUCAGUUGGUCUGAAAGUGAUCUAAAAUGCAUUCAAAAGUGCAUCGCUAUGCAACUGUCGUCUGCUUUGACAGAAACUUGACGGAUAGCGGUGCGAUAACUGCAAAACUGUUGCACUUACCGGACUUGCAGUUAAAAAGCAUUGCAGUUAAAGCGUUUGCACCGAGCGAACGUCUACUGUACAGCCUUGAUCAAUCGAAUUAGUUUAUCCGGGAAUAUGUAUUCGUGCAUAAUCUGCCAUAGCUGUUCUCGAUCGAUUGUAUCAUACGCCGAUUUGAAAUCGAUGAACAAGUGAUGUGUGGGCACGUUGUAUUCGCGGCAUUUCUGCAACACCUGGCGGAUGGCGAACAUCUGGUCCGUUGUAGCGCGUUCGCCCAUAAAUCCAGCCUGAUAUUGUUGCGUUGAUCGGCUGCCAGCCGAUCACACGUUGUCGCAUCUUGCCCAACACUACAAAAUCCUGUUCCCGCAGUUCAUUGAUGGUGCCACAACUUUGCUGGAAGGUAGCCGCGUCAUGCCCACUUUUCCACACUUUCUGUUCAGUCCAACAAAGUUCCUGCAACGCUACAAUGUCGAAGUUGCGGGGAUGUAAUUCGUCGUAGAUUAUGCUGUCACAUUCUGCGAAACCAAGUGACUUGCAAUUCCAUGUUCCAUGAUUCCAAUCGUUGUCUUUUUUUUCGUCGCGUAAAUUUCGAUUGUAGGUCUCUUUUUUUUUUCUAUUUCGUUUAUUUAAAGGCUCACUUGUUUAAUGAAAAACUCUACCGAGCCGAGAAUCAAAAGUAACAAUUUGUUAUUCUAAAUACAAUUGAAAAAAAAAGUAGUAAUUCGUCUUGCGAGCACAUUUCUUCUUGGGGGCCGAGCCGGAACCAGAACUUGACCGGGAUGCCGCAUAUUGGGCACGACGCUGAAAUGCCUGCGGGUUCGCAAUUGCCUCCUGGAUCACCUUGGCAACUUUUUCCAGCUCUUCCAUACCUUUCUUCCGUCGAAUCUCCUUGUCUAAUUCGGCUGCGGAUUUACUAACAGCUCCUUCCGCCAGUUCCUCUCCUCCUGAGUCCAUAGUCUUCUCAGCUACUACCGCUGUUACCGGCAACCCUGCCACCGGGUAGUCCUCCGGCUCAAACAAUCAGUGUGUGCGAGAAAUGAAAACUGUCAGCGAAAUGUCAUUCUUUCUGUCAGUGUUAUAAAAUAAUUGGUAUAAGUCAUAUCACCAAAAUUGCAGUGUCAUCAAGUGAUUUGCUGAAAUAACGUAGAGUUUAUUUGGAUAACUAUAUUAUUGUUUGAAUUGAAGAUUAUUGUAGAACCGUUUGUGAGGUGAAAGGAGACUAUAUCUUUGAGCUUACUUUGAUCGGGAACAAGGACGAGUUUGCUUCAAAAGACCUCCAAAACCGAACGUUCUCAACAAUAUUCAUCUUCUUCUUCUACAUAUUCUUCUUCCACAAUUUCAAUAAUAUCAUCCACUGUUUCUUUUUCAACUUCCUUUCCUGAUACUACCUCAGCGUACGAGCUGAGACUUGGGACCUGCUGCUGUCGUUUUUCCUGCUUGUUCCGGUUCACUCGUUGAGGACAAGUAUCUCGCCGGUGUCCCACUGCUUGGCAUAAAAAGCAUGUAUCCUUUAGUCCGCUGUAGAAGAUCCUUGCUUUCAUAUUCAGGAAAGUGAUCGCCGGUGGAAUCUCCUUCUUCACAUCGAUAUAUACGCCGCGUACUCCCGUGUACGAUCUAAUCCUAAGUCAGCGGGGAAUUUUUCCCUGACCACACGUUCCACUUUUCCAUACGCUGCGAGAACUUGCACCAAAUUAUCGUCUCGCAGUUCUGGUGGCAGGUCGAAAACUCGGACGUAGUGCACAUUGGUACCUGCGAUGCACAUGCGCACCACCACCGAUUCUCCAUUUGCAUAGGCAAAUCUCCGCGGCUCCAAAUUCUUUUUCAGAGAUUCCCUCAAUCCUUCCAGGCUCGUGAAUUUCACGAACAGGGAACGGUCACUUGCCGUUUUGUAAACGGUUUCCAUUAACAUGGGAUCGGUAUCCAACUGUUUGAUAAACGUGGCAAUUUCCUCCCAAGACGGUCGGGGGCUGCCGGGGGGAAACCGAAAUUGUGCGGUAUUCACAUCUUUGCUCAUCUCGCCGACACUCAAAGCAUCGAAACCCAGUGAAGCCAAAGUUAUUGACCGGGGAACAAAGCGCGCGUAACAAUAACUACGUUUGCCUAAGCAGCAGAGGCUAGAGGCACAGCAAAACCGAACCGCAAUGCGCACAUUUGCUUUCGAUUGUAGGUCUCGUGUCGUAUUUUCUUCUAUGUUAUUCGUAAUGGGGAUUUUUACGGAUGGCUUAUUGGGCCUACGCCAACACUCGUCUCGCCGGAGGGCCAUCGUGCCAGUUCUGUUUAACGUCCCAACCAACAGUGGGAAGACCACGUUGAUGGGGCAACCACCUUGGAUCUAGUUGGGCGUGAUGUAGCAUUUCUUACUCAUCCGCUGGAUGCCAGAACAGACGCUGUUUGAGCUGCACUUCCUUGGUGAACAGACGCUCGGGACGUACCUCCUCAAUCUAGCUAAAGUCAGAAGGACAACAGUGCCCAGUAUGCACUACCAGCUAUGCACACAACUCUUAGCUGGCGGUCUUUAUCAUCGGUUGACUCGUUGAAGCAUGAGGUAGGAAAUUGUGAGGACCAUAGCUAUGUUGGCCGCUCUCUUUAUUGACUCACCGUUUUGCAGCCCUAGGUACAUACCGGACUAAUUGGUGGUGGUAAAAAUGAUGAAAGAAUAAUGUAGGGUGGGGCGGGGCAAGAUGGGUCACCUAAGGAUGGAUCACCAUAACUUUGUGAAUACAAAUCGUACUGGUUUGUAUUCGUCCGCUACUCUAGUACACUAGUUAGCUAUGCUAAAAGCCGAUAAAAAGUUCAUUAAAUACAAAAUAUGAUGUUGAACAAGCAGUUUUAAAAAGUGAUCGAUUUUGCGCCGUGAAAAAAGUGCGGGGCAAGAUGGGUCACCUUUUAAGUAAUUCACUUUUUCUCAACGAAAAACGUCAAAAUAUAAGAUUUGUUCCACAUUCAUAUAUGCUCCAUAUCCAUACUGAGUAAACAAGAGCUACUAGUGAACAUUUUAUAAAAUUAUUUGGAAUAUAACAAACUUUACGAUUUGAGUGGUCCUAAGGCGACUUGAAAAUCGAUGUUUCCACUAAAAAAUUAUCAUAAUUUUGUGUUAUAAUUUUGAGCGUUCAUUCCGCUUGAUUAAAGUCAUUUAUGAGAUAGUCUUGUAAUAAAAAAUAAAUAACUUUUGAAUGCUUCAAAAAUACGUUCAAAAUUGAAGAUGACAUAUCUUGCCCCGCGGCCGUUUAUAUGGAGAUUAUAUGGAAUGUAUCCAGGGCCGGAUUUAGAAAUUUGGGGGCCCGGGGCCGCUGCUUUGUGGGGGCCCUUUGUAAAGAAGAUAAAUUUUGCCCAGAUAGCAUGAAGAAAAUAAAAAAAAAUCUCUUUCUUACAAAUAUGGUGAUGAAGGUAUUAAUGAAGUUGUGGAAGAAUCAUGAAUCUAGAACAAUAAGCAGAACUAUGAAAAAUGUCAAUAUCCACUAAAUUAUUUAUAACAGACUUGAAAUUCAAGCGUGAAAGCAGUGAUAAAAAAUGAUAUAAAGUAAAUAAUUGUUUUCAAGAGUGUAUUCGCCACAUUGGAUCCCAGAUUUAGUCGAAAUUCAAGCCAGAGUUCAUAGAGAAACUUCAAGAAGAAUUUAGUCUAGUCUAGUCUAGUCUACACAUAUACAGCCAUUCAUUGAAAGAAUCCUGGAAAAUGAUAGAAUCGACUAAUUCUACCAUUUUUCUUGUCAUUAUUAAUGUUUGCAGUACAUUGGAAAUGCAUUACAAGCAUUAAAGCGGCCAGGCCUACUGUGCAGCAUUAUUGUUUUUAUAAUAAAGCCAUUAAGUGGGGACAUCUCGUACCAACCACUCAGCUUUUGAGAAAGCAAAAUAAGUGAAAAUCGAUGGGGGUGACGAUGCUAAGAAGGUUAAUGUCACCCCUUGGUCCUUUGCUUUCUGGGAUGGAACACUGGUAUUUGGUCCGUGUCAUGGCCCUAAUGCCUAGGCUUAAGCGCCUUUACUCGCUCUCUGAAAUGAAACAAACUGGGUGCAAGGGAAACGUUGCGUAACUAAAAAUUGGUUUUCGAAGUUUAUAAAUGCCCAUAUAGCCGAGUUUGCGAAGUUUAUAAGGGCCCAUAUAGCCGAGGCGGUAAACGCACGGGUAUUCAGCAUGACCAUGCUGAGGGUGACGGGUUCGAUUCCCGGUCGGUCCAGGAUAUUUUCGUAAAGGAAAUUUCCUUGACUUCCUUGGGCAUAGAGUAUCUUCGUGCCUGCCACACGAUAUACACAUGCAAAAUGGUCAUUGGCAGAGGAAGCUCUCAGUUAAUAACUGUGGAAGUGCUCAUAGAACACUAAGCUGAGAAGCAGGCUUUGUCCCAGUGAGGACGUUACGCCAAGAAGAGGAGAGAGGAGGAGGAAAUGCCCCCUUAAGGAAAAAAAGGGAAAAUGUAGUUUGAAACGGGCUCACCGAUUUAUCUGGAAAUUUCUGUUCCUCGGUGUUGUAUGUAAGGGGAACGUCAUUACAGCACAGUCAGGCUUGCUCCUCGUCUCACCACCGUCGCGCACGCAGUCAGUCAGCAUUUUUGUGUUCCAGCACCGCGCCCGUCCAAACACAAAUUCUCACACGAUGAUAAAUAUCCCAAUAUUGAAGUAGUUUCACUUUAAUCACAGCUCUCCCGGACAAUUGAACUCGGCACCGCCCGAACACUCACAAUAAAUACGGAAAAUGAAAAAGAUUUGAAGGAUUUUGGCACGAAAAAAUGCGCACUUUCCAAACGACGCUUCCGGAUGGCGUAGCUCUACCAGUCCCCUUACCCCACGCAGAAAAACGCGAACCUUUCGAAUUUUUCACUUGUGGCACCGGAACUGAAAUCACAGUAUCCACGCAAACACGACUCGUAAACCUCGCCGGAUGGCGUAGCCCCACCAGCCGUUUCACGAUUCUGAAGGGCAAAUCCAAACUACCAGAGAAACUUCAAGAAGAAUUCAUAGCUGAAAUUAAGUAAUUUCAAUUAAAAUUUGUAGCGCAAUCGGUUGUGUCGUUUCUGCGAAAUCCAAAGAGAAUUCAUAUAUUGCAUCAGAGCCAGGAAAAGUUGCUGGUGAAGAACCCAACUAACAUUUUCAGCGCUAUAAGCUUAAGUCAUUUGCUUUCUGUUGUGUAACCAUCGAGUAAAAGCAGUCAACGCUGAAUAAAAGGAAAGCUAGUCAAAUAUAAAGCAUAAGCUAAUACACGACUGCAAAACAAGCACCAUCCAGCUACCAAACUCGGUUUUCAGAAAUUUAUUGCUUGUCACUGGGGCUGCCUUUACUCCACUCUAUUCCAACUCCGGGAGAUUUCCCGGAAGAUGUGAAAACUUGAACACAUCGAAUAGGAGUCCCCACUAACAAAACAGCUGCUACUAUACAGUACAAUUCGUUAUACUGACAAAUCCCCAAACCAGCAGCGCUUUAAAGGCCGUUAUGCGAUUUCAUUACGGCUAGAAGCUGUAAUAAAGAAACUGUUUGUUUACCAACACGACUUGUCGGAUGUAAACAUUAUUGUCAAAACAAACUUUAAGCGGGAUAUAUAGCUACUACACAAAUUCUUUACAGCUAUCCAUCUCUGUGCUGUGAUAUUUUUUGGGUUGCUUUUAUUGCACUUUAAUUCAAUGCCGGAAGAUUUUCCGGAAGAUGUGCAAAUCGAGUAAGAGUCCCAGCCACUACAACAGCUGCUUUUAUACAGUACGUUUUGUAAUGUUGCCAAAACACAAAACAGCAGCGCUUCGUAGCCGUUUAAAGAACACUCUUUCAGCUAGAAGCUGUGAAGAAGAAUCUGUUGGCGCAAUCACACAGCUUGUUCAAUGUAAACAUUAUUGCGUUUGACGUUUCACAAGCUUUUGCAGCAAGAUGAAGUUGGGUAAGGUUUCUUGUGGCACAAUUAUGAAGCCUUGUCUGGAGUAAAACAAAACGGGUUAUU